rnacentral:sRNA from 1 species
CUUGUGGCUCUAUGACUUUCAGGAGCGAAUGGUGAUCGUGGGAAGGACUUGGCUUAGGCGCGAGAGACUCAAGGCCGAGAUGAUGGGUGGUGAUAGUUCGGUUAGUCUAGGGAUCGAUUAUAUGACUUGUAAUAGCUUAUAUGCAAACUCAUAGGUUGUAUCGAAUCCUUUGCUUAAUCAAUAAAGUAUCCGAUUGUUUGUUUACUCUAUUCGUCUCAUAUAUUGAAUCACGGAAUCAUAUGGAACGGAUUAGACUAGGAAAGAACCUCAUAAACGGUUAGGGCCGAGUCACUUAGUGGCUUGGGUCGAGAGAACUCGUCCGGACUUUAGGCAGUCC